CCCGGCCACGGAGCGCUGCGUGCGCGGGACAACAAAGGCGGGAGCAUCAGCCCCGCGGGACGCCGCCCCCGCGCGCAGAAGCCGGGCUGCGUCCUCGGGCAGCGUCCGUCGCCCUGCCCGGCUCCCGCAUGGCUGCCCCGGCCCGCCCCAGCAGCGCGUGGGAGGCGGGCGAGGCCCCAGAGCGCGCGCGCUGCACCACGCCGCCUCCGGCCCAGCCCGGGCACGGCCCUGGGGAGCGGGUCCCCCCGUGCCUCUCCUGGGGACAGGGCGAGCAGCGUGUACGCGUGCUUCCGAAGAAGGGAGGGCGCUAGGGUAAGGAAACAAGAGCUGGAGGCCUAAGGGGGAAGCCGCCGAGGUGCCCUCUGAGCUCUAAUCCGCUUUUGAUACCCUCUGAGCUCUCAUGCAAGGAGGACGUGGCUGCUCAGGGCCCUAGCCGUGGUGUUUGAUCCAUUGCACGGUGCCUGGCUGCCCACCUUUUUAUCCCUACGAGCGGACCAUUACCCGACUUCCAAGCGCUCCGCGUGAACCAGCUUUGCUGUGCCCGAGGCUUUGCUGUUUGAAACAUACGAAGGUAAAACGAGCACUGGGCCACGGCUGUAGGCGCCGCGCCUGAAAACGUUUUAAAUGUAGUUAACUGAACUCCUGCGUUCACUCCUUAAAGCGAUUACGGUCUAAUAGACAUUAACAGCAUGUGGAUUUACAGGUCCGUGGACCGUUCUCACCUUUGAAGCGCAAAAAACCUGCCCUCCCCGCCCCAAGGCGGGCCCACAGCACCGCCAACCCCCAGGCACAAGGCAACUCCCCUACCUCCCUAAACAGCCACUUGCGGUCUCUGUAAAGGUUUUGCUCUUUGAAAGUACAGGUCUAGCAGCUUAUGGCUAUAUUAAGAGGACACCCUUCGGAAAUAUUCCACAGACUGUUUGGAUUCCCUGGCAUUCCUUGUCCUUGGCUGGCCCCACUUACCUGUUUCCUCUCCUGGGAUACGGGAGGUAUUAAACAUUCGCUCCCACUGAGCUGAGCAGAGUGGAACAGUGGAUCCCAUCAGAAGAAUCUAUGCCGCAAAUUUUUUUCCUGUAGAGCAGGGUGGCAUGGAUAACAUUACCUGCUCUAGCUGCCUGCAGGGAAGUGGGAACAACAUACAGAAAGUCCUGAAGACAGAAGAAAGGCACAUCCCUGGUCUUUCAAACGUUGCAGUUGUUUUGGGUCAAGAGCAUCCAAGUUCUACCCAGCUGAAAGACCAUGUUGCCAGGACCCAGAGAGCUGUAACUAUUUUACUUUAAAUGGAGUAGAUUACAGUGCUUCUCAACUAUAACAGAUGUCACACUGCAGGGACUACAAUCCCCAAAAUUCGGUGCUCCAUCCUGCACUAAGCAAUUAGCUCAGAUCAUUCUGUAGAAGAUGCAGCAUUGCAUGCUGGGACCUGUAAUCUCUGAGUUGUACUUCCCUACUAAAGAAGAGGUGGCUGUAGGCAAUAUAUUUGAUCCCCCGCUUUGGGUGAAUAGGCAAAUUAUACAAGUGCUCUUCCUUCUCCAAGGACUACCUGAACAGUUUCACCAACAACCCGGGUGCCAAGUGGAUGACAGCAACCAAAGACACUGGGAGAGAAAACAGCACUGUACAAGGACAUUCCAAUGCAUACCAAACAUUAUGAAUGAAUGAGACAAAGAAAACUGAAAAAUAACUAAAGAGCUGGCUUCUAAGAGCUUAAUGACACACAAAACACAAUCAAAUGAUAUUUAAGAUAUCCUAUCAGUGCCACAAUUAAAACAGAAACAGACAAAAUUUCCUUACCAUCCAAAUCCUGGUUGCUGUGGAAAGUUUGCCAUGUUCAGCAAAAAUCCAUCCAUGAUAAGAAAGCAGCAUCUUCAGUGAGUAUCGCAUUGUCAUAAUAAGGGCUACCCACAGCCCAGUGCCAAAAAGCAUCCCACUCACAAUGUUCUGCGUUUGGUUGGACAUAUAACCACUAUUUAAAAUAAAAGUCAGUGUAUGUCAAUUAAUGUCAGAAGAGGUAAAACAAACAACAAAAGUGAUAACAUGAGCCCUGCUUGUUCCCAGUGACUAGCUACAUCAAGCUCUAUAUAGAGGUCCUAUAGCUAACCUUUCACCAACAAAUUUCUGGGAGAAUUAGAGGGUUCUUUGAUCCAUUAAAGUCAUUCUCCAUUGUAUGGUGGUGAAUUCCUCUGGCACAGGCAAACUGUAUUGGGAUAGUUCUGCCACCUCCUUUGCCAACAACCCCACAUAAGAGCAGUUGUGUGCACACAUGUAAGGGGUAUUCUGGAGGCAGGGGAUGAUUAGGAUGGGGAGGAAUAAGGUGUGUGCGCAGAAGCUCCAAUAUGCCUAAUUCCUCACUGGUGUAAGUCCUAGGCUUCAUCAUAGGGUUGACCUUGAGCAACAGAAAUUGGGGUAAAAGAUGUUAACCUGCAUUUACACAAAGGAAACUACGGUGGUUAAAUCUUUUACUAAUCUAGGCAAACUCAAAGAGGAGAGUGGCUGAAUGGCAAAGGGAAGUUUCUCACUCCAUACAAGUGAUGCUUCCUGCUCAGAGGUGAGACACACUGGAGGGUGCUGUGAUGCAACUUGUACUUCUGCUGCCAAUACAGUACCUAGAGUGUGGAUAAACUGACUUCACCUUUUGAGGCCAUUGCCAAGCUAGUCUCUUUCCACAUGCUAAGUCCACUUUUUUCAAUUGAGAGAGAUAAAAAGUAUGGAUCAAAAUUUUCUCUGGGGCAUCAAUUCUCCAAACAAAAUCAUAAAUCCUUAAAAAUGACUAUUAAAAAGGGAGCUUAAAUAUUAAAGUAUUAGUAGCAUCUUUUCCUACACACUUCCUCUCAUCCUGCUGUAGGAAUAGAGAAGAGAAGAGGAUAAAUUCUAUUCUCAUUCACCCUGGAUUUACACUUGUAAAUCACUAGAAAAGGUCCAACAUGAUUUAACAUAAUUCACCCAGAUUCCUCAGUGAUUGCAUACACAAAAUAUGCAGAAAAGUGUGUUAAAAUGGUAGUAACUGACAGAAAGGUAGCACUAACUGAUUUGACCUAUUAGCCUUAUAACUCUAUAAGAGAACAAAUUCCUUCCUUCAGUCACAAGAACAAAAGAGUUUGUGGUUUCAUCCUUGCUCAUUUGUGCACAUCAGAAAACUACCACAUACUCUGCCACUACUAAGAAAGGCCCAGAGCCAGAAGAGAAGUAUGUUGCAAGUCAGGAUUGUGUGGGUCCCAUCCUGCACAAGACUAACUUAGCAGAAGACGCUGUAGAAAGCUUGCCUCAUGUCUACCAGUGCUUUGCUUGGCUGUGGUCUGUACUAUUCCUCCUCGGACAAGGAACGUUGGGGGUGAAAAAUACCACAGAAAAGACGUUAGUGUUUAUAUCUUGUGUGUGUUGAAUAUAUGUCGAAUUCAUAAAACAAUAUGCCCAUCCAAGCUUGGCACGAUAAGAAUUCUUUUCUUUAAAUAUAUAGUGUCAAAAGUGCAGUUUAUCAUACACAUACUCCCAACCACAUUUGAAACACUUGGUGGUCUUCUGAAAAUACUAACUGAAGUUAUAUCUCCAAUCCAGCUAGUGACAUACACGCAAUAGCUUUCUAAAGCAAUAAAGGAUAAGAGGCCUAAACUCAUGCUCAAAAGCUUCUGCAUGACGUUGGAGGACUGAGCUUACAGUAUUUACUGAUGCUUCCAAAUAGCUCUGGCUACGAGUAGCCUAAUACUUACAUAGCUGAACAAGCCAAAGAAGGUUUAAAUCAAUUUCUACAAUAUAAACAGAAUCAUGGCAACAUUUUGUAGUCAACUGCACUUCAUACCUAAACAGAGACAUGGAUAUAGUGUCCUGAUACACAGGUCAGUCUGCAGGUGAAACAUCCCACUGAGAAAUCUUCACUUAUUUUUUUAUUUUCUUAAAAUUGUGAAUGAACCUAGCACUCAGAGGUACGUUGCCUAAGCCAGGCACACUGUAGGGCAGGGUUGUACAAGAUUCCUCUUUACAGGUUCUGUUAACGUACUUCAGUCCUGUCCACAACACCUGUGCUGUCUGUUCUCGUCGGAUGAAAUGCUAUCAGUUGUACUCCUCAGAUAAUACUCAUGCUAAUAAAAUGAGUGGUAAUAUCAAA